AAUAAAUUUUUUAUGUUUUUAAUAAUUUAUUAUAAAUUUAUUUUACAUAUAAAUUUUAGUAUUAAAUUUUAAUUAUUUUAAUAAUAAUUAAUUUAAUUUAAAUAGUAAUUAAAAUUAAAAAUUUAAGAAAUUAAGAUUUAGUAAUAUUUAAAUUAAUAACUAAUUUUGUGCCAGCAGUUGCGGUUAAACAAAAUUUAAAUUGAAUUAUUUCAGUAUAAAAUAAAUAAGAAAAAAUAUUAAAUUAAAUAUUAAAUUGUUAAGUGAAAUUUCAAUUUGAUUAAAAAUUAUUAUAAAAUUAUGAUUUAAUAAAUUUUAUUAUAAACUAGGAUUAGAUACCCUAUUAUUAAAAAUUUAAUUAAAAAAUACUAAAAUAGUAGAUAAAAUAUUAUUGAAACUUAAAUAAUAUGGCGGUAUUUUAGUUCAUUUAGAGGAAUCUGUUUAUUAAUUGAUAAUCCACGAAUAAAUUUACUUAAUUUAUAAUUUUGUAUAUCAUUGUUAAAAAAAUAUUUUUAAAUAAAAAUAAUAUUUAAAAAUUUAAAAUAAAAUUUAAUUCAGAUCAAGAUGCAGAUUAUAAUUAAGUUUAAAAUGGAUUACAAUAAAUUUAUUUAAACGAAAAAAAAAAUUAAAGGUUUGAUUGAAGGUGGAUUUAAAUGUAAUUUUAAUUAGUUUAUUAAAAUGAUUAAAAAUUGGAAUAUGUACAUAUUGCCCGUCACUUUCAUUUUAAAAUUGAAAUAAGUCGUAACAAAGUAGAGGUACUGGAAAGUGUUUCUAGAAUGAU
rnacentral:ncRNA from 1 species